rnacentral:rRNA from 2 species
UACAGAGGGUGCGAGCGUUGUCCGGAAUCACUGGGCGUAAAGGGCGCGUAGGUGGCGCGACAAGUCAGUGGUGAAAGCUCGAUGCUUAACAUCGAGUCGGCCACUGAUACUGUUGGGCUUGAGCACUGUAGAGGCUAAUGGAAUUCCGGGUGUAGCGGUGGAAUGCGUAGAGAUCCGGAAGAACACCGGUGGCGAAGGCGGUUAGCUGGGCAGUUGCUGACACUGAGGCGCGACAGCGUGGGGAGCAAACAGG